rnacentral:rRNA from 1 species
CACCUCUAGCAUUGCCAGUAUUAGAGGCACUGCCUGCCCAGUGACAUUAGUUAAACGGCCGCGGUAUCCUGACCGUGCAAAGGUAGCAUAAUCAUUUGUUCCUUAAUUAGGGACUUGUAUGAACGGCCCCACGAGGGUUUAACUGUCUCUUACUUUUAAUCAGUGAAAUUGACCUUCCCGUGAAGAGGCGGGAAUACAAAAAUAAGACGAGAAGACCCUAUGGAGCUUAAAUUAAUAUGUUCAACAGAAUUUAAUUAUAAUCCAAUAGGAAUAAAAAUAUUCUAACUGAACAAUAAAUUUUGGUUGGGGUGACCUCGGAGUAUAACAUAACCUCCGAGCAAUUAAACCAAGACUUACCAGUCAAGGCCAUAUAACUUAUUGAUCCAAUCUUAUUGAUCAACGAAACAAGUUACCCUAGGGAUAACAGCGCAAUCCUAUUUAAGAGUUCAUAUCGACAAUAGGGUUUACGACCUCGAUGUUGGAUCAGGACACCCAAAUGGUGCAGCAGCUAUUAAAGGUUCGUUUGUUCAACG